AGACACCGGUCCAUACUUCUACGGGAGCAGCAGUAAAGAAUCUUCGCAAUGGGGGAAACCUGACGAAGCAAUACCGCGUGGGUGAUGACGGUCGUAAGAUGUAAAGCCUUUUCUGAGGGAAGAAUUCUGACGGUACUCAGGAAUAAGCACCGGCUAACUCCGUGCCAGCAGCCGCGGUAAUACGGAGGGUGCAAGCGUUACCCGGGAAUUAUUGGGCGUAAAGCGUCCGCAGGCGGUUUUUUAAGUUAAGUAUUAAAUCUUGGAGCCCAACUUCGAGGCUGUGCUUAAAACUGAAAAACUAGAGUCAUUCAGAGGUGCGUGGAAUUCUGUGUGUAGGGGUAAAAUCCGUAGAUACACAGAGGAACACCAAAAGCGAAGGCAGCGCACUGGGAAUGUACUGACGCUCAUGGACGAAAGCGUGGGGAGCGAACGGGAUUAGAUACCCCGGUAGUCCACGCCGUAAACGAUGGAUACUCGGUGUCAGGGGACUCGACCCCUCUGGUGCCCAAGCUAACGCAUUAAGUAUCCCGCCUGGGGAGUACGGUCGCAAGAUUAAAACUCAAAGGAAUAGACGGGGACCCACACAAGCGGUGGAGCAUCUGGCUUAAUUCGAUAAUGAGCGAGGAACCUCACCUAGGCUUGACAUCCCGAGAAUUCUCUAGAAAUAGAGAAGUGCCUUCUGGAACUCGGUGACAGGUGCUGCAUGGUUGUCGUCAGCUCGUGCCUUGAGGUGUUCGGUUAAGUCCGUGAACGAGCGCAACCCAUGUCCUGUGUUGCUUUUUCACAGGAGACUGCCGAUUCAAAGUCGGAGGAAGGUAUGGACGACGUCAAAUCAGCAUGGCCCUUAUGCCUAGGGCUGCACAGGUGCUACAAUGGCCAAUACAAUAGGUAGCAAUAUCGCAAGAUGGAGCCAAUCCCUAAAGUUGGUCUAAGUUCGGAUUGAGGGCUGCAAUUCGCCCUCAUGAAGUUGGAAUCGCUAGUAACCGUGAAUCAGCAAUAUCACGGUGAAUAUGUUCCUGGGUCUUGUACUCACCGCCCGUCACACUACGGAAGGUGGAGGCACCCGAAGUACCCUUAGCUUCGAGC
rnacentral:rRNA from 1 species